rnacentral:rRNA from 1 species
GUAAAAUCUUCUGAUCCAUGAGGGACCACCAGUGCGAAGGCGGUCUGCCAGAACACGUUCGACGGUGAGGGAUGAAAGCUGGGGGAGCAAACCGGAUUAGAUACCCGGGUAGUCCCAGCUGUAAACGAUGCAAACUCGGUGAUGCAUUGGCUUAUGGCCAAUGCAGUGCCGCAGGGAAGCCGUUAAGUUUGCCGCCUGGGAAGUACGGACGCAAGUCUGAAACUUAAAGGAAUUGGCGGGGGAGCACCACAAGGGGUGAAGCCUGCGGUUCAAUUGGAGUCAACGCCGGG